UGAAACACCAGUUCCCAUAUGAUCAUUGAAGUUAAGCAAUGUUAAGCAUGGUCUGCACUUAGAUGGGUGACUGCUUGGGAAUACCAGGCGCUGUAA